rnacentral:rRNA from 1 species
GGGUGCGAUCAUACUAGAAUUAAUGCAUCGUAUCCCAUCAGAACUCUGAAGUUAAGUGUGCUUGGGCUAUAGUAGUACUGGGAAGGGUGACCUGCCAGGAAGUCCUAGUGUUGCACCCU